UACGUAGGUGGCAAGCGUUGUCCGGAUUUACUGGGCGUAAAGAGCGCGCAGGCGGUCGUUCAAGUCGCGUGUGAAAGCCUCCGGCUCAACUGGGGAGGGUCACGCGAUACUGAUCGACUGGAAGGCAGGAGAGGGUAGUGGAAUUCCCGGUGUAGUGGUGAAAUGCGUAGAUAUCGGGAGGAACACCAGUGGCGAAGGCGACUACCUGGCCUGUUCUUGACGCUGAGGCGCGAAAGCUAGGGGAGCAAACGGG
rnacentral:rRNA from 1 species